UACGUAGGGUGCAAGCGUUAAUCGGAAUUACUGGGCGUAAAGCGUGCGCAGGCGGCUCGGAAAGAAAGGUGUGAAAUCCCAGGGCUUAACCUUGGAACUGCACUUUUAACUCCCGAGCUAGAGUAUGUCAGAGGGGGGUAGAAUUCCACGUGUAGCAGUGAAAUGCGUAGAGAUGUGGAGGAAUACCGAUGGCGAAGGCAGCCCCCUGGGAUAAUACUGACGCUCAUGCACGAAAGCGUGGGGAGCAAACAGG
rnacentral:rRNA from 1 species